GUGCCGGUGUUCUGUCAGUUUAGCAUGCGCAUCAGAGUAGCAUACAUUACGUUAAUGCGCAUGCGGGUUAGGGUUAUGUGCAGGCACUAUGCCAGUUUCGGUUAGGGUCAGGGUUUUA